AGAGUUUGAUCCUGGCUCAGGAUGAACGCUAGCGACAGGCUUAACACAUGCAAGUCGAGGGGCAGCGGGGGAGUAGCAAUACUCCCGCCGGCGACCGGCGCACGGGUGAGUAACACGUAUGAAACCUGCCCGUAGCAGGGGGAUAAGCAGAAGAAAUUCCGUCUAAUACCGCGUAACAACCCUUGGAGGCAUCUCCCGGGGUUUAAAGGAAGCGAUUCCGGCUACGGAUGGUCAUGCGUCGCAUUAGCUAGUUGGCGGGGUAACGGCCCACCAAGGCGACGAUGCGUAGGGGUUCUGAGAGGAAGGUCCCCCACACUGGUACUGAGACACGGACCAGACUCCUACGGGAGGCAGCAGUGAGGAAUAUUGGUCAAUGGCCGCAGGGCUGAACCAGCCAAGUCGCGUGAGGGAUGACGGUCCUAUGGAUUGUAAACCUCUUUUGUCAGGGAGCAAAGGACGCCACGUGUGGCGUUUUGCGAGUACCUGAAGAAAAAGCAUCGGCUAACUCCGUGCCAGCAGCCGCGGUAAUACGGAGGAUGCGAGCGUUAUCCGGAUUUAUUGGGUUUAAAGGGUGCGCAGGCGGAAUGUCAAGUCAGCGGUAAAAUUUCGGGGCUCAACCCCGUCGUGCCGUUGAAACUGGCGUUCUUGAGUGAGCGAGAAGUAUGCGGAAUGC
rnacentral:rRNA from 1 species